rnacentral:rRNA from 1 species
GCUGGGAGUAGACCCGAAACCGGGUGAUCUAUCCAUGGCCAGGGUGAAGGUUAGGUAAAACUAACUGGAGGCCCGAACCCACUUAUGUUGAAAAAUGAGGGGAUGAGCUGUGGAUAGGGGUGAAAGGCCAAACAAACCCGGAGAUAGCUGGUUCUCUCCGAAAUCUAUUUAGGUAGAGCCUCAUGUAUUACUUCAGGGGGUAGAGCACUGUUAUGGCUAGCGGGUCGUCAAGACUUAGUAAACCAUUGCAAACUCCGAAUACCUGAAAGUAUAAGCAUGGGAGACACACUGCGGGUGCUAACGUCCGUAGUGGAAAGGGAAACAACCCAGACCGUCAGCUAAGGUCCCAAAAUUGUAGUUAAGUGGGAAACGAUGUGAAAAGGCCCAGACAGCCAGGAGGUUGGCUUAGAAGCAGCCAUUCCUUUAAAGAGUGCGUAAUAGCUCACUGGUCGAGUCGGUUUGCGCGGAAGAUUUAACGGGGCUAAAACUACAUACCGAAGCUACGGAUCAUAAUUUAUUAUGAUGGUAGGAGAGCGUUCUGUAAGCCGUUGAAGGUGUCCUGUGAGGGAUGCUGGAGGUAUCAGAAGUGCGAAUGCUGACAUGAGUAACGAUAAAGGGGGUGAAAAACCCCCUCGCCAGAAGUCCAAGGUUUCCUACGCAACGUUAAUCGGCGUAGGGUUAGUCGGCCCCUAAGGCGAGGCAGAAAUGCGUAGUCGAUGGGAAACAGGUUAAUAUUCCUGUACUUCAUAUAACUGCGAUGGGAAGACGGAGAAGGUUAGCUCAGCAAGGCGAUGGUUGUCCUUGUUCAAGCGUGUAGAAAUGGUUCUUAGGAAAAUCCGGGAACCUCUAUUUCAAGGCGUGAUAACGAGCCCUCUUUUGGGCGAAGUGAGUGAUACCAUGCUUCCAGGAAAAUCCUCUAAGCUAUAGGUUAUAUGAAACCGUACCCCAAACCGACACAGGUGGACGAGAUGAGAAUUCUAAGGCGCUUGAGAGAACUCGGGUGAAGGAACUAGGCAAAAUGACACCGUAACUUCGGGAGAAGGUGUGCUCUUUGUAGGUGAAAUCACUAGCUGAUGAAGCUGAAAAGAGUUGAAGAAACCAGGUGGCUCCGACUGUUUAUUAAAAACACAGCACUCUGCAAACACGUAAGUGGACGUAUAGGGUGUGACGCCUGCCCGGUGCUUGAAGGUUAAUUGAUGAGGUUAGGAUUUAUCCGAAGCUUUUGAUCGAAGCCCAAGUAAACGGCGGCCGUAACUAUAACGGUCCUAAGGUAGCGAAAUUCCUUGUCGG